AAAAAACAAAAAAAAAAAAGAAAGAAAAAGAAAAGGAAGGAUGGGAAGAGAGAGAAGGGGAGGGAAGGUUUGGAUAGGAGAGGAAAAAAAAGCUUCAGGCAAUUUAGUUAAAAUGUGGUGUCAAAGUUUUUAUUACAAUCUUGUGGCAGGGGAAUAGGCUUCUGUCCUACCUGGCCAAUUCAAAAGUACCUGCUGGUAAGGACAUUUCAUCAGAAAUGAGAAUGGUUAGAUAAUCAUUGUUAGACUGGAUAUAAGAAAAAAAAGUUCUGAUUAAGAAUUAUUAGCUUUAUUUUGCACAAGUACAAAAACCUAAGGGCAUCUUUGUCAUCAAUGUGUGAAUUGGAAUAAGGAAUAAAACCACAGUAAUGAGAGCACAGUCCCAUAGCAUUUGUUCUCUGAAGGAUUUCUCAAAGCACACUUGGGAAGAUAGCUCUCCAAACCAUGUACAAAGAUAUUUUUAGACUGUCUAUAUAUUUGUAAAUCUUGCCACAAUAUUAUUGUGCCAUAAACAACCAAAAUGAAAUCUGACCUUGUUUCAACAAUAGGAAUCUCCAAGAAUUUAGUAAAGGAAUAAAGAGAAUUUGUUGACUAUGUUGGAAAAAAAAAAAGAAUUAUUAGCUUUACUGAAAGAUGAUUUAAAGGCCAAUGGAUCCCUCCCAAAGGUGACAUGAGCUGAGUGCAUAGGUUAAAGGUUUCUCAGAAGAGGUCUUAAUCCCAUUAAAGUUCAUCAGAUAAUUGCUUAAGUAUUUCAUCAGAUAUAUAAGCCAUUCCCAAUAAGAGGUUUGUGGAUUAUAUUCCCAAAAUGUUCCUGACCCAGCCCAGAUGUGAUACAGUUUUUUAUUUUACAGUAUAAAGGCAUGUUUCGUGAAAACUUGUGUUUCAGUACAUAGGUGCUAUAUGUUGAUGUGAACUUAAUUUUUUCACUGCACCACUUUCAAAGAGGUUUGAAAAACACUAUACUGUUUUUUAGAGCUGAGAUCUGAUAAAGGCCUUGGAAAUUCCAGGGGUCUCUAAACCUGCCCUUGUCUGUAGAAAACCUCUUUAUCUUUGCAGACACCUAGGUGGGAGUGUCCUGGAUAUCUUCACAAACUUACUGUAAGUCUGUUAGACUCAGAGGGCCGAUCAGAGAUGUCCAUACUAGAGCAGGUCUGCUUUUUCCCUGAUGAUGAGAUUUAAUUGCAGAAGGGUCCCAAUGCUAAAAUAAAAUCUUUGAAAAUCAUCAAUUGAGUCUAAUCCCUUUGUUUUACUUUUUGAGGAAACUGAGGCCACUGAGGCCCAGAGUGAGAGUGCCUUGCCAGUCACUUGACAUUUGGCCCACCUGCAGUGGUACUGCCCUAAGCAGUCUACCCAAAUAGCAAAGAUUUCACCACUGGAAACUCACAUUUAGUUGUUCCCCUUUAAAGAUACCAGGAAAGAGAGCCUAAGUAAUUAAGUUACCUUUUAGUGUGUCUUCAUUAAUCAGAUUUCUUUACCAGAUCCAGGACCACUUCAUCCAUUAGGUGUGACAGGCUGUAACUCUAGGGGUUGUAAACUCUGUAAGGGCCUACAAAAAUGGCUGAAGCUUGAAAAACUCAUUUUUCAAGCUUUGAAAUACAAAAAGAAAACAACCAAAUUGAAAUUAAGGCGUUCCAAUGUGGACAAAUGGUAGUAUGCAUGAUAUGAUAUGGAUUAGGACCUCCCAAAAUAAGGAUGUCUGCCACCCAGGAUGUUUGGUUCCGCCAGGGUAACCAAGGUGAGACAAUAGGGUAAGGCCACUCUCCCAGAGUGAUGACGGAUACUUAACACAGCAUUUGGCCAUGGGUGCCUGACAAUAAGUUUCUUUUGUUUUCUUUUUACCCUCCAACAACCAGACAAGGCAUUUCUUCCCCUUGACUGGGAAACUAGACCUUGGCUAAGUGAGUUACCUCUCGGUCUCAGUGACCCCACUGUAAAAUGAGAUGCUUGGGCUGAUCUCUGGAUCUGUGAUUCCCAAAAUGAGGAAGGCAGACACUCCUGGUGCACAUGAUGAUUUUAGGCACAUGGCUGAUUCAUGAAGGUCCUGGACGAGCCCUAAGAAGCUGCCAGCUAGACCCAGACACUGGCCACUGGCCUCUGAGGUCUCCCUCCCCGCUGAACUCAGAUGGGACCCUUCCUUCCACCAGCAGUUCAUCAAGAGCCCCGUUCAUCCUUCCAGGUGGCCUUUUCUGGGCUGACAUCCUGAGCAAUGGCCAGGAGUCGCAAGGCAGUCCUUCAGUGACCCCCUCCAAUGAAGUGUUCCAGGGCCUCCACCCUCAGGACAAUUCUCCAGACAGACCUGCAUGUCCUGACAGCUGGGGAUGUGCGGUCACACAGAGCCACAGAGCAGGGUCCCCAAAAUCCAAAUGUGCAAACAGCAAGGGGACCCAGAGCAGUAACAGGAGCUUGGCCUGUCUUCCUACUCCAAAGAGACCCUUGCCUGAGUGGCAGAAAAGCUCACAUCAGAUGGAAAACCCACUUAGCCCCAGGUGGACAGGGGGCCACCAGCACUCCAUGGUCCAGCAGGGAUAGAGCGGGCCUGGCCCACCGCCCCACUUCCACUGGCAUUGAAGGUUCUUGGGCACUUGGAAGAUUUCAGAAGGACUUUAGAAAAGCAGCUGACCUCAAGGGGAGUCUGUGCAGAUGCACUUGGUGAAUCCUUGUAGUUGGCAAAUUGCUGAUCCAGGCUCUAGACCUGUUGUCGCUUAUCCCUGAGGAAGGAGGGCCUUGAGGGUCCGCGUCUCCACAGCCAUCUCUCAGGCCCUGUGAAUGAUCCCAGCACAUUAGAAAGGGACAUAGUCAAAAGCCAGACAUCAAGUUCUACCCUCUCAUUUUAUCUAACAUUUCAAAUGCUCAUCUCUUUUUAAAAUUAUUAUACAAUUAAUGCAUUCCCAUUCUAAAAUAUUUGGAAAAUGAAGAAACAACAAAAAAGAAAAUGAAAUCCUGUAAGCUCAUCAAAGAAAACUGCUAUUAUAUUUCCAUCUCAACUUUUUUUCUGUGGUCAUAUGUAUUUUUAUUAUCACAGAGAUGCAAUUUUGUGUUUGCUUUAUUCACUUUGAAUUAGAUGAUGAGUAUUUUCAACAUAAUGAAAUAUUCUUCAUAAGCACUUUUAAUAACUGCAUAAGACUGUUCUGACCUGGCACACUGUAAAUACUUUGACUCAAAUGCUGGGCAUUUAUGUUUUCAGUUUUUCGAGAGUAUAAAAACGCACUAAAAUAAACAUCUU